AUUGAACGCUGGCGGCAGGCCUAACACAUGCAAGUCGAACGGCAGCACAGAAGAGCUUGCUCUUUGGGUGGCGAGUGGCGGACGGGUGAGUAAUGUCUGGGAAACUGCCCGAUGGAGGGGGAUAACUACUGGAAACGGUAGCUAAUACCGCAUAACGUCGCGAGACCAAAGUGGGGGACCUUCGGGCCUCACACCAUCGGAUGUGCCCAGAUGGGAUUAGCUAGUAGGUGGGGUAAUGGCUCACCUAGGCGACGAUCCCUAGCUGGUCUGAGAGGAUGACCAGCCACACUGGAACUGAGACACGGUCCAGACUCCUACGGGAGGCAGCAGUGGGGAAUAUUGCACAAUGGGCGCAAGCCUGAUGCAGCCAUGCCGCGUGUAUGAAGAAGGCCUUCGGGUUGUAAAGUACUUUCAGCGGGGAGGAAGGCGGUGAGGUUAAUAACCUUGCCGAUUGACGUUACCCGCAGAAGAAGCACCGGCUAACUCCGUGCCAGCCGCCGCCGUAA
rnacentral:rRNA from 1 species